rnacentral:misc_RNA from 1 species
GAUGAAGAACGUAGUGAAAUGCGAUAAGUAAUGUGAAUUGCAGAAUUCAGUGAAUCAUCGAAUCUUUGAACGCAUCUUGCGCUCCUUGGUAUUCUGAGGAGCAUGCCUGUUUGAGUGUCAUUAAAUUCUCAACCGCACUGACUUUGAAUUGGUGUGGCUUGGAUUUGGGGGGAAAAUUGUUGUGGGCUUUUUUGUAUAGUCUGCUCCCCUGAAAUUGAUUAGCGGUACCUUUGUGGAACUGUCUACAGGUGUGAUAAUUAUCUACAUCCUAGACAUCUGCUGGAAUGCUGCUUUCUAAACCUUACUUGUAUUGACAAUCUUGACCUCAAAUCAGGUAGGACUACCCGCUGAACUUAAGCAUAUCAAUAAGCGGAGGA